CCGGUAAACGGCGGCCGUAACUAUAACGGUCCUAAGGUAGCGAAAUUCCUUGUCGGGUAAGUUCCGACCUGCACGAAUGGCGUAAUGAUGGCCAGGCUGUCUCCACCCGAGACUCAGUGAAAUUGAACUCGCUGUGAAGAUGCAGUGUACCCGCGGCAAGACGGAAAGACCCCGUGAACCUUUACUAUAGCUUGACACUGAACAUUGAGCCUUGAUGUGUAGGAUAGGUGGGAGGCUUUGAAGUGUGGACGCCAGUCUGCAUGGAGCCGACCUUGAAAUACCACCCUUUAAUGUUUGAUGUUCUAACGUUGGCCCGUUAUCCGGGUUGCGGACAGUGUCUGGUGGGUAGUUUGACUGGGGCGGUCUCCUCCUAAAGAGUAACGGAGGAGCACGAAGGUUGGCUAAUCCUGGUCGGACAUCAGGAGGUUAGUGCAAUGGCAUAAGCCAGCUUGACUGCGAGCGUGACGGCGCGAGCAGGUGCGAAAGCAGGUCAUAGUGAUCCGGUGGUUCUGAAUGGAAGGGCCAUCGCUCAACGGAUAAAAGGUACUCCGGGGAUAACAGGCUGAUACCGCCCAAGAGUUCAUAUCGACGGCGGUGUUUGGCACCUCGAUGUCGGCUCAUCACAUCCUGGGGCUGAAGUAGGUCCCAAGGGUAUGGCUGUUCGCCAUUUAAAGUGGUACGCGAGCUGGGUUUAGAACGUCGUGAGACAGUUCGGUCCCUAUCUGCCGUGGGCGCUGGAGAACUGAGGGGGGCUGCUCCUAGUACGAGAGGACCGGAGUGGACGCAUCACUGGUGUUCGGGUUGUCAUGCCAAUGGCACUGCCCGGUAGCUAAAUGCGGAAGAGAUAAGUGCUGAAAGCAUCUAAGCACGAAACUUGCCCCGAGAUGAGUUCUCCCUGACUCCCUGAGAGUCCUGAAGGAACGUUGAAGACGACGACGUUGAUAGGCCGGGUGUGUAAGCGCAGCGAUGCGUUGAGCUAACCGGUACUAAUGAACCGUGAGG
rnacentral:rRNA from 1 species